rnacentral:rRNA from 1 species
GACGAACGCUGGCGGCGUGCCUAAUACAUGCAAGUCGAACGCAGUGGGGACGGGUGAGUAACACGUGGGUAACCUCCCAUCAGAGGGGAUAACACUUGGAAACAGGUGCUAAACCGAUACUGAUGGAUGGACCCGCGGUGCAUUAGCUAGUUGGGGAGGUAACGGCUCACCAAGGCCACGAUGCAUAGCCGACCUGGGAGUGGAAUGGGCCACAGUGAAAGUGAGACACGGCGCAGACUCCGACGGGAGGCAGCAGUAGGGAAUCAUCGGCAAUGGGCGAAAGUCUAAGCAGGCAUCGCCGCGUUAGUAAAGAAGGUUUUCGGAUCGAAAAACUCUGUGAUUAAAAAAGCGGUAUCUAACCAGAAAGCCACGGCUAACUACGUGCCAGCAGCCGGGGUAAUA